CUGCUGGGCUACGUAAGGGGCUUGUUCUAUUAUUGUCUUCAUUUUAUUGUUACUAAACC
rfam:Vicugna pacos cont1.399351, whole genome shotgun sequence.